AAUUCUUGUCUUAAAUUUGUCUAAAUACGAAUGUAUCUAGUUACAUUUUAGUGUUAGAUACAUCCGUAUCUAAACAAAUGUAAGACAAGAAUU
rnacentral:pre_miRNA from 1 species